rnacentral:rRNA from 1 species
UACGGGGGGGGCAAGCGUUGUUCGGAAUUACUGGGCGUAAAGGGCCAGUAGGCGGCCAACUAAGUCCGACGUGAAAUCCCCAGGCUCAACUUGGGAACUGCGUCGGAUACUGGAUGGCUUGAAUUCGGGAGAGGGAUGCAGAAUUCCAGGUGUAGCGGUGAAAUGCGUAGAUAUCUGGAGGAACAUCGGUGGCGAAGGCGGCAUCCUGGACCGGUAUUGACGCUGAGGCGCGAAAGCCAGGGGAGCAAACGGG